UACGUAGGGUGCGAGCGUUAAUCGGAAUUACUGGGCGUAAAGCGUGCGCAGGCGGUUCGUUAAGUUCGUUGUGAAAGCCCCGGGCUCAACCUGGGAACUGCAAUGGAAACUGGCGGGCUUGAGUGUGGCAGAGGGGGGUGGAAUUCCACGUGUAGCAGUGAAAUGCGUAGAUAUGUGGAGGAACACCGAUGGCGAAGGCAGCCCCCUGGGUUAACACUGACGCUCAUGCACGAAAGCGUGGGGAGCAAACAGG
rnacentral:rRNA from 1 species